rnacentral:rRNA from 1 species
UGUUUGGCGACCAUAGCGGUUUGGUCCCACUCCUUCCCAUCUCGAACAGGACAGUGAAACAAACCAGCGCCGAUGAUAGUAUAGUUCCUAUGCGAAAGUAGGUCAUCGCCAAACUCU